GCAGGUUGAAGCGCGGGUAAGACCGCGUGGAGGACCGAACCCACCUGGGUUGAAAACCGGGGGGAUGACCUGGGGCUAGGGGUGAAAGGCCAAUCAAAUUCCGUGAUAGCUGGUUCUCUCCGAAAUGCAUUUAGGUGCAGCGUCGGUCGAUUGCGUCGCGGGGGUAGAGCUACCGGAUGCUUGCGGGCCCUUGUUGGGUACCAACAGCAGCCGAACUCCGAAUACCGUUGACGUGUAUUCCGGCAGUGAGUCGGCGGGGGAUAAGCUCCGUCGUCGAGAGGGAGACAGCCCAGACCGUCGUCUAAGGUCCCGAAGCGUGUGCUAAGUGGGAAAGGAUGUGGAGUCGCAUAGACAGCCAGGAGGUUGGCUCAGAAGCAGCCAUCCUUGAAAGAGUGCGUAACAGCUCACUGGUCUAGUGGUUCCGCGCCGACAAUGUAGCGGGGCUCAAGCACACCACCGAAGACGCGGCAGCAAUCUUCAUGGUUGCUGGGUAGGAGAGCGUCCUGCGAGGGGCGAAGCGGCCGGGUAACCGUGCCGUGGACUUCGUGGGAGUGAGAAUGCAGACAUGAGUAGCGAGAGACGGGUGAGGAUCCCGUCCGCUGGAUGACCAAGGGUUCCGGGGCCACGUUCGUCGUCCCCGGGUGAGUCGGGUCCUAAGGCGAGGCCGACAGGCGUAGUCGAAUGGAUGAACGGGUGGAUAUUCCCGUACCGACCAUGGACCGGCAAAACCGAGACGGUGAGUACUAACCUCCGCCUCGUGGUGGUUCCUUCCUUCGGGUUGGUUCCGCCGCGUGGUGUUGGGAGCGUAGCCGUAGUAGGUCAGCGCAGGGGUGACACGGAAUGGGAGCCGGCCGCGGAGGUGGUUUUCCGUGGUCAAGCACGCAGCCAGUCAUGUAGGCAAAUCCGCAUGGCGCGCAUGGCGAGGUGUGAUGAUGGGAGCCUUUUGGGCUCGAUAUCCGGUUGUCCAGGCCGUCGAGAAAAGCCUCGGCGUGAGGGCCAUGGCCGCCCGUACCCCAAACCGACACUGGUGGUCAGGUAGAGAAUACCAAGGCGAUCGAGCGAAUCCUGGUCAAGGAACUCGGCAAAUCACUCCCGUGCCUUCGGUAUAAGGGAGACCCGCUGGGGUGAACCGGCUAGCCCGGGGAGCUUUGGUGGGUGGCACAGACCAGGGGGUAGCGACUGUUUACCAAAAACACAGGUGCAUGCGAAGGCGCAAGCCGCUGUAUAUGCACUGACGCCUGCCCGGUGCCGGAAGGUUAAGAGGAUCCGUCAGCCCUCGGGUGAAGCGGUGAAUUCAAGCCCCGGUAAACGGCGGUGGUAACUAUAACCAUCCUAAGGUAGCGAAAUUCCUUGUCGGGUAAGUUCCGACCUGCACGAAUGGCGUAACGACUUCCCCACUGUCUCGACCAGGAGCUCGGCGAAAUUGCAGUACGAGUAAAGAUGCUCGUUAAGCGCAGAAGGACGAAAAGACCCCGGGACCUUUACUAUACCUUGGUAUUGGCGUUAGGCGCGGAUUGUGUAGCAUAGGCGGGAGGCUUCGAAGCGGGUGCGCCAGCAUUCGUGGAGCCGCAAGGUGAAAUACCGCUCUGUUCUCGUUUGACGUCUAACCUCGACAAGUCAUCCUUGUCAGGGACAGUGCCUGGCGGGUAGUUCAACUGGGGCGGUUGCCUCCCAAAGAGUAACGGAGGCGCUCAAAGGUCCGCUCAGCCCGGUUGGCAAUCGGGUGUCGAGUGUAAUCGCACAAGCGGGCUUGACUGCGAGGACGACGGUCCGAGCAGGGACGAAAGUCGGAGAUAGUGAUCCGGUGCCGGCGCACGGGCGCGGCAUCGCUCAACGGAUAAAAGGUACCCCGGGGAUAACAGGCUGAUCAUUCCCAAGAGUCCAUAUCGACGGGAUGGUUUGGCACCUCGAUGUCGGCUCGUCGCAUCCUGGGGCUGGAGCAGGUCCCAAGGGUUCGGCUGUUCGCCGAUUAAAGCGGCACGCGAGCUGGGUUCAGAACGUCGUGAGACAGUUUGGUCUCUAUCCUCUGCGCUCGUUGGAAUCCUGAGGAGGCCUGCCCAUAGUACGAGAGGACCUGGGUGGACGAACCUCUGGUAUGCCGGUUGUCGCGCCAGCGGCACGGCCGGUUGGCUACGUUCGG
rnacentral:rRNA from 1 species